rnacentral:rRNA from 1 species
UACGGAGGGUGCAAACGUUGCUCGGAAUCAUUGGGCGUAAAGCGCACGUAGGCGGCCUGUUAAGUCGGAUGUGAAAGCCCCGGGCUCAACUCGGGAAGUGCAUUCGAAACUGGCAGGCUUGAAUAUGGAAGAGGGUCGCGGAAUUCCCGGUGUAGAGGUGAAAUUCGUAGAUAUCGGGAGGAACACCAGUGGCGAAGGCGGCGACCUGGGCCAAUAUUGACGCUGAGGUGCGAAAGCGUGGGGAGCAAACAGG